CAGUCGCCCGGUAAUACGUAGGGCGCAAGCGUUGUCCGGAAUUAUUGGGCGUAAAGAGCUCGUAGGCGGUCUGUCGCGUCUGGUGUGAAAUCCCGAGGCUCAACCUCGGGCUUGCAUCGGGUACGGGCAGACUAGAGUGCGGUAGGGGAGACUGGAAUUCCUGGUGUAGCGGUGGAAUGCGCAGAUAUCAGGAGGAACACCGAUGGCGAAGGCAGGUCUCUGGGCCGCAACUGACGCUGAGGAGCGAAAGCAUGGGGAGCGAACAGGAUUAGAUACCCCAGUAGUCCCUGUCUCUUAUACA
rnacentral:rRNA from 1 species